rnacentral:rRNA from 1 species
GCAAGUCGAGGGGUAACAUUGCAGCUUGCUGUAGAUGACGACCGGCGCACGGGUGCGUAACGCGUAUGCAACCUACCUUAUACAGGGAGAUAGCCCAGAGAAAUUUGGAUUAAUAUCCCAUAGUAUUAUUGAAUGGCAUCAUUUAAUAAUUAAAGUUCCGGCGGUAUAAGAUGGGCAUGCGUGAUAUUAGCUAGUUGGUGAGGUAACGGCUCACCAAGGCGACGAUAUCUAGGGGUUCUGAGAGGAAGAUC